UUUUUCAAAACAUAACCUUUAGCCAAACAAGUAUUAAAGGCAACGCCUGCCCAGUGAAUAAUUCAACGGCCGCGGUACCCUAACCGUGCAAAGGUAGCAUAAUCAUUUGUCUAUUAACUGUAGACCUGUAUGAAUGGCAAAAUGAGGGUUUAACUGUCUCUUAUAAUAAGUCUAUUAAACUGAUCUCCUAGUAAAAAAGCUAGGAUACCCCCAUAAGACCAGAAGACCCUGUGAAGCUUAAACUAAACCAUUAAACCUAAUAAUGAAUACUUUCGGUUGGGGCGACCUUGGAAACAAAAAUAACUUCCAAUAAUGUGAUUACACCACACCCACUUAGGCCUACAAGCCAACAAAUGACCCAGUACCACUGAUAAUAGAACAAAGUUACUCCAGGGAUAACAGCGCUAUCUUCUUCAAGAGCCCAUAUCAAAAAGAAGGUUUACGACCUCGAUGUUGGAUCAGGACAUCCUAAUGGUGUAGCCGCUAUUAAGGGUUCGUUUGUUCAACGAUUAAUGUCCUACGUGAUCU
rnacentral:rRNA from 1 species